GACGGUAACAGCCCGGUAGUUGAAAUGGCUUUCCCUCCAGAGUGGAUCCUGAGUACGGCGGAACACGUGAAAUUCCGUCGGAAUCCGGGAGGACCAUCUCCCAAGGCUAAAUACUCCCUAGUGACCGAUAGUGAACCAGUACCGUGAGGGAAAGGUGAAAAGCACCCCGGAAGGGGAGUGAAACAGUUCCUGAAACCGUGUGCCUACAAGUAGUUAGAGCCCGUUAAUGGGUGAUAGCGUGCCUUUUGUAGAAUGAACCGGCGAGUUACGAUUUGUUGCAAGGUUAAGCGGAAAAAGCGGAGCCGUAGCGAAAGCGAGUCUGAAUAGGGCGCAUAAGUAACAGGUCGUAGACCCGAAACCAGGUGAUCUACCCAUGUCCAGGAUGAAGGUAAGGUAAUACUUACUGGAGGUCCGAACCCACGCACGUUGAAAAGUGCGGGGAUGAGGUGUGGGUAGCGGAGAAAUUCCAAUCGAACUUGGAGAUAGCUGGUUCUCUCCGAAAUAGCUUUAGGGCUAGCCUCGAGGUAAAGAGUCAUGGAGGUAGAGCACUGUUUGGACUAGGGGCCCUUCUCGGGUUACCGAAUUCAGAUAAACUCCGAAUGCCAUGUACUUAUACUCGGGAGUCAGACUGCGAGUGAUAAGAUCCGUAGUCGAAAGGGAAACAGCCCAGACCACCAGUUAAGGUCCCCAAAUAUAUGUUAAGUGGAAAAGGAUGUGGGGUUGCUUAGACAACCAGGAUGUUGGCUUAGAAGCAGCCACCAUUGAAAGAGUGCGUAAUAGCUCACUGGUCGAGUGACCCCGCGCCGAAAAUGUACCGGGGCUAAACAUAUUACCGAAACUGUGGAUGAACCUCUUUAGAGGUUCGUGGUAGGAGAGCGUUCUAAGGGCGGUGAAGUCAGACCGGAAGGACUGGUGGAGCGCUUAGAAGUGAGAAUGCCGGUAUGAGUAGCGAAAGAAGGGUGAGAAUCCCUUCCACCGAAUAUCUAAGGUUUCCUGAGGAAGGCUCGUCCGCUCAGGGUUAGUCGGGACCUAAGCCGAGGCCGAUAGGCGUAGGCGAUGGACAACAGGUAGAGAUUCCUGUACCAGUGCUAAUUGUUUAACCGAUGGGGUGACACAGAAGGAUAGGGAAUCGCACGAAUGGAAAUGUGCGUCCAAGCAGUGAGUGUGAGAAGUAGGCAAAUCCGCUUCUCGCGAAGCAUGAGCUGUGAUGGGGAAGGAAAUUAAGUACGGAAGUUCCUGAUUUCACGCUGUCAAGAAAAGCCUCUAGGAAGAGUAGUACUGCCCGUACCGCAAACCGACACAGGUAGAUGAGGAGAGAAUCCUAAGGUGAGCGAGAGAACUCUCGUUAAGGAACUCGGCAAAAUGACCCCGUAACUUCGGGAGAAGGGGUGCUCUAUUAGGGUGCAAGCCCGAGAGAGCCGCAGUGAAUAGGCCCAGGCGACUGUUUAGCAAAAACACAGGUCUCUGCAAAACCGUAAGGUGACGUAUAGGGGCUGACGCCUGCCCGGUGCUGGAAGGUUAAGAGGAGUGCUUAGCUUCGGCGAAGGUACGAAUUGAAGCCCCAGUAAACGGCGGCCGUAACUAUAACGGUCCUAAGGUAGCGAAAUUCCUUGUCGGGUAAGUUCCGACCCGCACGAAAGGCGCAACGAUCUGGGCACUGUCUCAACGAGAGACUCGGUGAAAUUAUAGUACCUGUGAAGAUGCAGGUUACCCGCGACAGGACGGAAAGACCCCGUGGAGCUUUACUGCAACCUGAUAUGGAAUGUUUGUACCGCUUGUACAGGAUAGGUAGGAGCCGAAGAGACGUGUGCGCUAGCAUACGAGGAGGCAAUGGUGGGAUACUACCCUGGCUGUAUGACCAUUCUAACCCGCCACGCUUAGCGCGUGGGGAGACAGUGUCAGGUGGGCAGUUUGACUGGGGCGGUCGCCUCCUAAAGAGUAACGGAGGCGCCCAAAGGUUCCCUCAGAAUGGAUGGAAAUCAUUCGCAGAGUGUAAAGGCACAAGGGAGCUUGACUGCGAGACUGACAAGUCGAGCAGGGACGAAAGUCGGGCUUAGUGAUCCGGUGGUUCCGCAUGGAAGGGCCAUCGCUCAACGGAUAAAAGCUACCCCGGGGAUAACAGGCUUAUCUCCCCCAAGAGUCCACAUCGACGGGGAGGUUUGGCACCUCGAUGUCGGCUCGUCGCAUCCUGGGGCUGUAGUCGGUCCCAAGGGUUGGGCUGUUCGCCCAUUAAAGCGGCACGCGAGCUGGGUUCAGAACGUCGUGAGACAGUUCGGUCCCUAUCCGUCGCGGGCGCAGGAAAUUUGAGAGGAGCUGUCCUUAGUACGAGAGGACCGGGAUGGACACACCGCUGGUGUACCAGUUGUUCCGCCAGGAGCAUCGCUGGGUAGCUAUGUGUGGCAGGGAUAAACGCUGAAAGCAUCUAAGCGUGAAGCCCCCCUCAAGAUGAGAUUUCCCAUUUCUUCGGAAAGUAAGAUCCCUGAAAGAUGAUCAGGUAGAUAGGUUUGGAGUGGAAGUGUAGCGAUACAUGGAGCGGACAAAUACUAAUCGAUCGAGGACUUAACCAA
rnacentral:rRNA from 1 species